rnacentral:rRNA from 1 species
UGCUGCACACAUCGCAGUCGAACGAUGAAGCCCUUUGGGGUGGAUUAGUUGGCGAACGGGUGAGUAACACGUGGGCAAUCUGCCCUUCACUCUGGGACAAGCCCUGGAAACGGGGUCUAAUACCGGAUAACACUUCCGUCCUCCUGGACGGUGGUUAAAAGCUCCGGCGGUGAAGGAUGAGCCCGCGGCCUAUCAGCUUGUUGGUGAGGUAAUGGCUCACCAAGGCGACGACGGGUAGCCGGCCUGAGAGGGCGACCGGCCACACUGGGACUGAGACACGGCCCAGACUCCUACGGGAGGCAGCAGUGGGGAAUAUUGCACAAUGGGCGAAAGCCUGAUGCAGCGACGCCGCGUGAGGGAUGACGGCCUUCGGGUUGUAAACCUCUUUCAGCAGGGAAGAAGCGAAAGUGACGGUACCUGCAGAAGAAGCGCCGGCUAACUACGUGCCAGCAGCCGCGGUAAUACGUAGGGCGCAAGCGUUGUCCGGAAUUAUUGGGCGUAAAGAGCUCGUAGGCGGCUUGUCACGUCGGUUGUGAAAGCCCGGGGCUUAACCCCGGGUCUGCAGUCGAUACGGGCAGGCUAGAGUGUGGUAGGGGAGAUCGGAAUUCCUGGUGUAGCGGUGAAAUGCGCAGAUAUCAGGAGGAACACCGGUGGCGAAGGCGGAUCUCUGGGCCAUUACUGACGCUGAGGAGCGAAAGCGUGGGGAGCGAACAGGAUUAAGAUACCCUGGUAGUCCACGCCGUAAACGGUGGGAACUAGGUGUUGGCAGAACAUUCCACGUUCGUCCGGUGCCGCAGUUAACGCAAUUAAGUCCCCGCUGGGGGAAAUACGGCGAAGGUAAAC